UCUGUUUCAUGUUAGAUUUUUUGUACAGACUGAAUUAAGUUAAAAAGAAAACUUAAUAUCUUUGAGCGGGCUUCUGUGUGUAGAUUUUAGACGCUUUGCUAACGCAGCUGGGCGUAUGAGUAACGAUCUGGAGUGUAGCUUAUCGUCAUGUGUGGCUCACUGUGAAACUGUGGUGGCACAAAUCAGACCGUGGAGGGACACCACAUUCUCCGUGAUGAAUGGCAAACACAGUAAAAACAUAAUAUUUUAUAUGUCCUAUGUGUAAUAGAUGAAAUUUACCUUAUCUUUGCAUUUUUAGAUGAACAUUGUUCCAAAUGGAACUGAUUUAAAACCUCUGAGAGGGAAAACGCUCUCGUUAUUUGUAGACCCAGAAGUAGAAGCACGUGAUGUACUCAAACAAGCUGUCCAGAAAGGGAGAACAUUUAACAAGGACAUGCAAGAAGGACCGUCCUUGUCCUUUUGAGUCCACACUGCUCAGAGGUGGCCCAUGUGCCAGACUCAGCAAAGCCAUUCAAACUGGCUGAAUAUAACAAGCAGCUAGGGAGGCCAUACUGCAGGGUCAGCUUUUUCGUUUACCCUGAAACACAUUUUAAAGGAGGUUUUUGGACCACAAAACCAAAGUGCUCCCAAACACAAACCCUUUUCUGAUGCUGAGGAAAUGGAUCCACCAAUGGAUCCACAAAUCCAGCCAAGACUUGUUGCUACAGAUUUACAGAUGAUGCUGGUGUUUUUGAGGAGGGAGUCGAAGCAGAGAAUUUUUAACCCUGCUAAUGAAACACCUGAAAGACCGUCCCAUUUUUGAUGGACCAGAGGGACAUCAGUUCUUGGUCUACAAUGCAAAUGCCGUUAGGGAGGACGAACACUUCCUGGCAGGAAAGAUGAUCGCAGUGUCCACAUGGAGGUCCAGGACCUCAUUUCCUGUCAGAAGAUCUUGUAUGUUAUCUUGCUGGCCUUCAUUCACAUAAACAGUUAAUUUAACAGCUGAUGCAGAAAGAGGGGAAAGCUUUGUGAGAGGUGAGAAUAGCAUAAAGCUGCAGUGUGGUAGCUUUUACAUCCUGUGGUGCUUUAGGACAGUUUUACUUCCUACAUCACAUACACAGAAUUGGCUUCAUUUUGAUAGGGUAGGGUUACACCAUGCUGCGUAUGUCACUGAUUAACAACAUGCAAGGAUAUAAAGUACAUACAGUUAUGUACAGUUGUGUCUGUCUUUCAGAGUGAGAAUGCUGCUUUACUGGAUGCUCUGCAAGGACGAAUCGCGAGACACUGCACAAGUUACGGACAGCAGGCUGUCUGGGACGUGUGGCAGACCACCUCCCAUGAUGUGUUAUUGACCGGAACUCAUCUGUAAUUCACAGCCCUUCAGUUUGUCACGGCACUAAAGCAACACCCGUCUUUGCUGGCCCGUCCUGAAGCCACUCUGAACAGCGACUCGUCUAACCUGACCUCAGCCCUUCAGGUGGGAACAGGAGACUAAAAGAAAGUCAAACCUCGGCCUGCUGGGCAGACCGUCUCCUCGAUUGUGAAGAAGGCGAGGCUGCUGUGUCUGUGGAGGAUGUUUGCAGCUGGGCUGACAUCACUUCCUCCUUCUGGCUUGGAACCACUGCCACAAACAGUUCCUGGAUGACUCUCCAUUCCCAAUGGCAAAUACAUGUUCAGACUUGUUGAAAGUACCACUCUGAGAUUCAUACAGUGUGUUUAUGGACUUGGCUUUUUAUAAGCCACAUGACUGGAUGACUCCGGGAGCUUGGACUCUAAAAAUCUUGUUUGUUCUUUGUUGCUGUUGUCAUUGGUGCACCUAAAGGUGCAGUAGCUUUUGUUAACGGGGCUUUUAAAAUGUUAAAAGUAUGUGAGCUUGUUUUUUUUUUUGCUCAAACUGUUGUCUGUUUAUGAAUCACUGCUUUACAUUUAGAAUGAAAGAACAAACAAGUAUUUCAAGAGAUUUUGUUUUCCAUACAAAAAUGUAAUAAGUGCUCAUUAUUUUGCUUUUAUUAUUCAUGUUUCUCACUUUGAAAUAAUUAAGCUGUGGGUGACAAAUUCACACACUUGGUGUACAUGUUCCACUAUUACAAUAAACCUCUCUUCCAUC